rnacentral:misc_RNA from 1 species
UCCCUGUUACCAGGGCGGUCUCCUGUGAAUAUUCAACACAGGACGAGGGUUUCGUUCGUUCAAGGACUUAACCUCACAGCUCACGCCACGAACUGACGACGACCGUGCAGCACCUGUCUUAGGGCUCUCUUGCGAGCACUCCCCAGUUUCUUGGGGAUUCCCUAGAUGUCAAGGCCUGGAUAAGGUUCCUCGGUUGUUGUCGAAUUAAACCACAUGCUCCACCGCUUGUGCGAUCCCCCGCCAAUUCCUUUGAGUUUUAGCCUUGCGGCCGUACUCCCCAGGCGGCCGACUUAACGCGUUAGCUUCGCAACAGAAAGGGUCGACUCUUCCCAUUGCUAGUCGGCAUCGUUUACAGCGUGGACUAA